AGACAGAGGUGCCAAGCGUUAGGCGGAAUCACUGGGCUUAAAGCGUGUGUAGGCGGACUUCUAAGUACCUUGUGAAAUCCCACGGCUCAACCGUGGAACUGCUUGGUAUACUGGUUGUCUUGAGCCACUUAGGGGCUACCGGAACAAAUGGUGGAGCGGUGAAAUGCGUAGAUAUCAUUUGGAACGCCAAUGGUGAAAACAGGUAGCUGGGAGUGUGCUGACGCUGAGACACGAAAGCCAGGGGAGCGAACGGGA
rnacentral:rRNA from 1 species